rnacentral:rRNA from 1 species
AGUCUACCGGGGCAGCAGUGAGGAAUCGUGAGAAAGGGGAGAAAGCCUGACCCAGCGACGCCGCGUGGAGGAGAAGGCCUUCGGGUCGUAAACUCCUGUUCGGGGAGAAGAACAGGAGGGAAGUGAAUAACUUCUCUCCCUGACGGUAUCCCCGGAGAAAGCUCCGGCUAAUUACGUGCCAGCAGCCGCGGUAAUACGUAAGGAGCGAGCGUUGUCCGGAUUUACUGGGCGUAAAGAGCUCGUAGGUGGUUUCUUAGGUCUCACGUGAAAUUCCCUGGCUCAACUGGGGAGGGUCGUGGGAAACCGAGAAGCUAGAGGGCAGGAGAGGAGAGUGGAAUUCCCGGUGUAGCGGUGAAAUGCGUAAAGAUCGGGAGGAACACCAGUGGUGAAGACGGCUCUCUGGACUGUCCCUGACACUGAGGAGCGAAAGCCAGGGGAGCGAACCGGAUUAGAUACCCGGGUAGUCCUGGCCGUAAACGAUGGGUACUAGGUGUGGGGGGUUCGACCCCCUCCGUGCCGCAGUUAACGCAUUAAGUACCCCGCCUGGCAAGGACCGCAGCAAGGUUGAAACUCAAAUGAAUUUGGACGGG